UGUAAGGUAGACUAAUGGUUAGUUAUCAGGCUCAUGAUCUGGGGGUGUGGGUUCGAGUCCCACCCUUACUU
rnacentral:tRNA from 2 species